rnacentral:rRNA from 1 species
ACUCCUACGGGAGGCAGCAGUGGGGAAUAUUGCGCAAUGGGGGAAACCCUGACGCAGCAACGCCGCGUGAGUGAUGAAGGCCUUCGGGUCGUAAAGCUCUGUNUUCGCUGACGAUAAUGACGUA